rnacentral:rRNA from 1 species
CCUACGGGUGGCAGCAGUGAGGAAUAUUGGUCAAUGGGCGCGAGCCUGAACCAGCCACGUAGCGUGAAGGAUGACUGCUCUACGGGUUGUAAACUUCUUUUAUAAAGGAAUUAAGUGAGGCAAGUGUGCCUUUUUGUAUGUACUUUAUGAAUAAGGAUCGGCUAACUCCGUGCCAGCAGCAGCGGUAAUACGGAGGAUCCGCGCGUUAUCCGGAUUUAUUGGGUUUAAAGGGAGCGUAGAUGGGUUGUUAAGUCAGUUGUGAAAGUUUGCGGCUCAACCGUUAAAUUGCAAUUGAUACUGGCAGUCUAGAGUACAGUUGAGGUAGGCGGAAUUCGUGGUGUAGCGGUGAAAUGCGUAGAUAUCACGAGGAACUCCGAUUGCGAAGGCAGCUUACUAAACUGCCACUGACAUUGAUGCUCGAAAGUGUGGGUAUCAAACAGGAUUAGAUACCCGGGUAGUC